UAGGGAAUCUUCGGCAAUGGGGGGAACCCUGACCGAGCAACGCCGCGUGAGUGAAGAAGGUUUUCGGAUCGUAAAACUCUGUUGUUAGAGAAGAACAGCGCAUAGAGUAACUGUUAUGCGUGUGACGGUAUCUAACCAGAAAGCCACGGCUAACUACGUGCCAGCAGCCGCGGUAAUACGUAGGUGGCAAGCGUUGUCCGGAUUUAUUGGGCGUAAAGCGAGCGCAGGCGGUCAAUUAAGUCUGAUGUGAAAGCCCCCGGCUCAACCGGGGAGGGUCAUUGGAAACUGGUUGACUUGAGUGCAGAAGAGGAGAGUGGAAUUCCAUGUGUAACGGUGAAAUGCGUAGAUAUAUGGAGGAACACCAGUGGCGAAGGCGACUCUCUGGUCUGUAACUGACGCUGAGGCUCGAAAGCGUGGGUAGCAAACAGG
rnacentral:rRNA from 1 species